UGGGGAAUUUUGGACAAUGGGCGAAAGCCUGAUCCAGCAAUGCCGCGUGUGUGAAGAAGGCCUUCGGGUUGUAAAGCACUUUUGUCCGGAAAGAAAUCCUUGGCUCUAAUACAGUCGGGGGAUGACGGUACCGGAAGAAUAAGCACCGGCUAACUACGUGCCAGCAGCCGCGGUAAUACGUAGGGUGCAAGCGUUAAUCGGAAUUACUGGGCGUAAAGCGUGCGCAGGCGGUUUGCUAAGACCGAUGUGAAAUCCCCGGGCUCAACCUGGGAACUGCAUUGGUGACUGGCAGGCUAGAGUAUGGCAGAGGGGGGUAGAAUUCCACGUGUAGCAGUGAAAGUGCGUAGAGAUGUGGAGGAAUACCGAUGGCGAAGGCAGCCCCCUGGGCCAAAUACUGACGCUCAUGCACGAAAGCGUGGGGAGCAAAACAGGAUUAGAUACCCUGGUAGUCCACGCCCUAAAACGAUGUCAACUAGUUGUUGGGGACUUCAUUUCCUUAGUAACGUAGCUAACGCGUGAAGUUGACC
rnacentral:rRNA from 1 species